rnacentral:lncRNA from 10 species
CCAGCAUCCAAGGAGAGUGUGGGCAGCUGGAGCCAGGUCCUCCUCCUCCUCCUUCUCCUCUUCUUCCUCCUUCGUUUCUUCCUUUCCUCCUCCACCUGCCUAUUGCAGAGCAGCAGAAAGCAAAGGAGCUAGAAAAGGUUAGCACUGCCUCUAAGGUCUCCUGCAACUCACCCACCCACCCCUCUUACUCCAUGGUAUUCAACUUCUAAACUAAGAGGAAAGCCCGAGCUAGAGGUCCUAUGCAUCAAUCAGGGAAGAGAUAUUGAGAAGAAUAAACAGAGAAACUGAGUUCAAGCUUAACUCCCAACCCCUUGAGUGUGGGCUAGACUUAGUGACCUGCUUCUAAGGAAUAGAGUAUGGAAAGAGGAAAAUAGCAACAUUACAGGAGAGAAACCUGAAAGCAACUUAACCAAGUGAUCACAGAAUCACUGGUAAUAACUCUUGUUGAUAUCAUGUGCCCCCAAUACAGUAUGAUGAAAAGACCCAUCAUCUCGGUGAUAUUUAUCCUCAAAAUCUAUAAUCUUACAACAAUUAUGAGAAAAUAUAGACAAACCCAAUUUGAAAGGAAGCAAGUCUACAAGAUACUUAACCAGUACUUUACAAAAGUGACAAGGUCACAAAAGACAGCACAAGACUGAGAAACUCACAGAUUGGAGGAAGCCAAAGAGACAUCAUGGCUGAGAUCAUGGUGGUGGAACCCUGGUUUGGAUCCUGGAACAGAAAAAAAGAACACUAAGUGGAAA